AUUGAACGCUGGCGGCAGGCCUAACACAUGCAAGUCGAACGGUAACAGGGAACAGCUUGCUGUUUCGCUGACGAGUGGCGGACGGGUGAGUAAUGUCUGGGAAACUGCCUGAUGGAGGGGGAUAACUACUGGAAACGGUAGCUAAUACCGCAUAACGUCGCAAGACCAAAGAGGGGGACCUUCGGGCCUCUUGCCAUCGGAUUUGCCCAGAUGGGAUUAGCUUGUUGGGGGGGUAACGGCUCACAAAGGCGACGAUCCCUAGCUGGUCUGAGAGGAUGACCAGACACACUGGACCUGAGACACGGUCCAGACUCCCACGGGAGGAAGCAGUGGGGAAUAUUGCACAAUGGGCGCAAGCCUGAUGCAGCCAUGCCGCGUGUAUGAAGAAGGCCUUCGGGUUGUAAAGUACUUUCAGCGGGGAGGAAGGGAGUAAAGUUAAUACCUUUACUCAUUGACGUUACCCGCAGAAGAAGCACCGGCUAACUCCGUGCCAGCAGCCGCCGUAA
rnacentral:rRNA from 1 species